UGGCUCAGUGGUUAAGAGCACUGGUCACUCUUCCAGAUGACCUGGGUUCAAUUCCCAG
rfam:Rattus norvegicus chromosome 1, whole genome shotgun sequence.